GCUCCAGUGACCUAGUGGUUAGAGCGUCCGCCUAAUAUGCGGGAGGUCGUGGGUUCAAACCCCAGCGAGUCA